rnacentral:rRNA from 1 species
UUGAACGCUGGCGGCAUGCCUUACACCUGCCAGUCGAACGGCAGCGCGGACUUCGGUCUGGCGGCGAGUGGCGAACGGGUGAGUAAUACAUCGGAACGUACCCUGUUGUGGGGGAUAACUAGUCGAAAGAUUAGCUAAUACCGCAUACGACCUGAGGGUGAAAGUGGGGGACCGGAAACGGCCUCAUGCAGCAGGAGCGGCCGAUGUCUGAUUAGCUAGUUGGUGGGGUAAAGGCCCACCAAGGCGACGAUCAGUAGCUGGUCUGAGAGGACGAUCAGCCACACUGGGACUGAGACACGGCCCAGACUCCUACGGGAGGCAGCAGUGGGGAAUUUUGGACAAUGGGGGCAACCCUGAUCCAGCAAUGCCGCGUGUGUGAAGAAGGCCUUCGGGUUGUAAAGCACUUUUGUCCGGAAAGAAAUCGCGCUGGUUAAUACCUGGCGUGGAUGACGGUACCGGAAGAAUAAGCACCGGCUAACUACGUG